rnacentral:rRNA from 1 species
UACGAAGGGGGCUAGCGUUGCUCGGAAUCACUGGGCGUAAAGCGCACGUAGGCGGCUUUCUAAGUCAGAGGUGAAAUCCUGGAGCUCAACUCCAGAACUGCCUUUGAUACUGAAGAUCUUGAGUUCGGGAGAGGUGAGUGGAACUGCGAGUGUAGAGGUGAAAUUCGUAGAUAUUCGCAAGAACACCAGUGGCGAAGGCGGCUCACUGGCCCGAUACUGACGCUGAGGCACGAAAGCGUGGGGAGCAAACAGG